UGGGGAAUAUUGCGCAAUGGGCGAAAGCCUGACGCAGCGACGCCGCGUGAGGGAUGAAGGUCUUCGGAUCGUAAACCUCUGUCAGCAGGGAAGAAAUUUUUAGUGUGCUAAUCAGCAUUAAAUUGACGGUACCUGCAAAGGAACGCACCGGCUAACUCCGUGCCAGCAGCCGCGGUAAUACGGAGGGUGCGAGCGUUAAUCGGAAUUACUGGGCGUAAAGCGCUCGUAGGUAGUAUAUCAAGUCAAGGGUGAAAUCCCCGCGCUCAACGUGGGAACUGCCUUUGAAACUGGUAGACUUGAGUGUGUGAGAGGAUAGUGGAAUUCCAGGUGUAGGAGUGAAAUCCGUAGAUAUCUGGAGGAACAUCAGUGGCGAAGGCGACUAUCUGGCACAUAACUGACACUGAGGAGCGAAGCGUGGGUAGCAAACAGGAUUAGAUACC
rnacentral:rRNA from 1 species